rnacentral:rRNA from 1 species
UGGGGAAUAUUGCACAAUGGGCGCAAGCCUGAUGCAGCCAUGCCGCGUGUGUGAAGAAGGCCUUCGGGUUGUAAAGCAUUUUCAGCGAGGAGGAAGGUGGUGAACUUAAUACGUUCAUCAAUUGACGUUACUCGCAGAAGAAGCACCGGCUAACUCCGUGCCAGCAGCCGCGGUAAUACGGAGGGUGCAAGCGUUAAUCGGAAUUACUGGGCGUAAAGCGCACGCAGGCGGUUUGUUAAGUCAGAUGUGAAAUCCCCGGGCUCAACCUGGGAACUGCAUUUGAAAACUGGCAAGCUAGAGUCUCGUAGAGGGGGGUAGAAUUCCAGGUGUAGCGGUGAAAUGCGUAGAGAUCUGGAGGAAUACCGGUGGCGAAGGCGGCCCCCUGGACGAAGACUGACGCUCAGGUGCGAAAGCGUGGGGAGCAAACAGGAUUAGAUACCCCUGGUAGUCCACGCUGUAAAACGAUGUCGAUUUUGGAGGUUGUGCCCUUGAGGCGUGGCUUCCGGAGCUAACGCGUUAAAUCGACCGCCUGGGGAGUACGGCCGCAAGGUUAAAACUCAAAUGAAUUG